rnacentral:lncRNA from 1 species
AAUGUCAGAUCCCCCUGAACCCACCCCCCAUUGGCCAUGUGCCUGAAGAAAACUGCACUCCACAGCCACCCCCCCCCACACACACACACCGAAAAAGUAGCUCAGAAGAAGAGGAGGCACAGGAGAAGGAACAGAGAGCUGACAGACAUUCGGGGACCAAGUCUAACAGCAACAGGAAGACUGCCUGUUGGGAGCACAGAAGGCCAGGAGUAGAGACCUGUGCGGCUGGACACCAGCUCUCAGUGGGAUUCCCAACAGGCCUUGCACACAGCUCCCGGGGUUACUGUGUGGAUGGGGGCUCUGAGCUCACAGCCUGCUUUCAUUUUGCUGUGGGACUGUCCGGGCUUCCAGCAACUCACCGGUCCUAGGCGGCUAAAAGAGACACCAACCACAAAGGCAGCAAAGCCGUCACUUGCUACCUCCUAGAACGCCCUGUCCUCA